AAGGCGGUAACCGAAAAGCCUGAACAGAGAGUAGGUA
rnacentral:ncRNA from 1 species